UUCGGAGGCAGUGGCAGACGGGUGAGUAACGCGUGGGAAUCUACCCAUCUCUACGGAACAACAGUUGGAAACGACUGCUAAUACCGUAUACGCCCUUCGGGGGAAAGAUUUAUCGGAGAUGGAUGAGCCCGCGUUGGAUUAGCUAGUUGGUGGGGUAAAGGCCUACCAAGGCGACGAUCCAUAGCUGGUCUGAGAGGAUGAUCAGCCACACUGGGACUGAGACACGGCCCAGACUCCUACGGGAGGCAGCAGUGGGGAAUAUUGGACAAUGGGCGCAAGCCUGAUCCAGCCAUGCCGCGUGAGUGAUGAAGGCCUUAGGGUUGUAAAGCUCUUUCAACGGUGAAGAUAAUGACGGUAACCGUAGAAGAAGCCCCGGCUAACUUCGUGCCAGCAGCCGCGGUAAUACGAAGGGGGCUAGCGUUGUUCGGAAUUACUGGGCGUAAAGCGCACGUAGGCGGAUCGUUAAGUGAG
rnacentral:rRNA from 1 species